rnacentral:rRNA from 1 species
AUCAGAAUGCCGCGGUGAAUACGUUCCCGGGUCUUGUACACACCGCCCGUCACACCAUGGGAGUCGGAAAUGCCCGAAGUCUGUGACCCAACCUUAGGGAGGGAGCAGCCGAAGGCAGGUCGGAUGACUGGGGUGAAGUCGUAACAAGGUACC